UACACUCCUGCGGGAGGCAGCAGUGGGAAAUAUUGGACAAUGGGCGCAAGCCUGAUCCAGCCAUGCCGCGUGAGUGAUGAAGGCCCUAGGGUUGUAAAGCUCUUUCACCGGUGAAGAUAAUGACGGUAACCGGAGAAGAAGCCCCGGCUAACUUCGUGCCAGCAGCCGCGGUAAUACGAAGGGGGCUAGCGUUGUUCGGAUUUACUGGGCGUAAAGCGCACGUAGGCGGACUAUUAAGUCAGGGGUGAAAUCCCGGGGCUCAACCCCGGAACUGCCUUUGAUACUGGUAGUCUUGAGUUCGAGAGAGGUGAGUGGAAUUCCGAGUGUAGAGGUGAAAUUCGUAGAUAUUCGGAGGAACACCAGUGGCGAAGGCGGCUCACUGGCUCGAUACUGACGCUGAGGUGCGAAAGCGUGGGGAGCAAACAGGAUUAGAUACCCUAGUAGUCCCAUGAU
rnacentral:rRNA from 1 species